CACGUUGUUCUUUUGUUUCUUAACGAUAGGAGACCAUAAAGACGUGCAAGAAAAAAUGGUAAAAGAAAUAAAACAAGUAAUGGGUGAAGAGAAGUGCGAUGUCACAAAAGAACACUUGUCAAUGAUGCCGUAUUGUGAGGCUGUAAUAAAUGAAACCAUGCGGCUAUAUCCUGCAGCUCCUGGCGUUAUGCGAUACGCAGACCGUGACGUUAAACUUGACUCGUGUACCAUCGUAAAAGGGACAAAUGUUUAUAUUAAUUUCUGGAGUAUGGGUAGAAGUGAGAAAGAGUGGGGUCAUGAUGCGUUAGAGUUUAAGCCGGAGCGGUGGUUACCACCUCAUCCACCCAGGUCUAAGCAAGUAGCUUUCAGCUUGGGGAAAAGAGCUUGCAUAGGAAAAAGAUAUGCGAUUCCAGUGUUAAAGACGAUCUUGAUUCACUGCAUUCGUGAUUAUGAGAUCAUAGCUGAACCAAAUGAGAAUUUAGAGUUCAAAGUGGAUGUUGCCUUAAAAGCAAUAA